CCCUUAGAUGUCCUGGGCCGCACGCGCGUUACACUGAUGCAUUCAACGAGCUUAUAACCUUGGCCGAGAGGCCUGGGCAAUCUUGUUAACGUGCAUCGUGAUAGGGAUAGAUUAUUGAAAUUAUUAAUCUUGAACGAGGAAUUCCUAGUAAACGCAAGUCAUCAGCUUGCAUUGAUUACGUCCCUGCCCUUUGUACACACCGCCCGUCGCACCUACCGAUUGAAUGGUCCGGUGAAAUCUCCGGACUGGCGUGAGUCGGAGCAAUCUGACAAACGCCGGAAAGUUGAUUAAACCUUACCAUUUAGAGGAAGGUGAAGUCGUAACA
rnacentral:rRNA from 1 species